GCGGGGGGGCUGUGGCUUAUUCGAUGCACGCGAGACUUACUACUCUUGACAUCCAGAGAAUUACAGAGAUGGAUUGGUGCCUUCGGGAACUCUGAGAAGGGCUGCAUGGCUGUCGUCAGCUCGUGUUGUGAAUGUUGGGUUAAGUCCCGCAACGAGCGCAACCCUUAUCCUUUGUUACAAAGGGUCGGCCGGGAACUCAAGGAGACUGCCGUGAUAACCGGAGGAAGGGGGAAAAAAGAAAAGUUUGGCCCUUGAGGAUUUCCCACUUUUAAAUGGGGUUCAAAAAGCAGGCUUCCUGUUCAAUUCCCUAUUACCAAUCCUUUCGGGAUUGCUUGGAGCCAAAUCCGUAAGUCGACCCCUUGAAACAAUAAACAAUGGUCCAUGUUUUUGUUUCGGCCUUGUAUCUCUGCGUAAACU
rnacentral:rRNA from 1 species